rnacentral:rRNA from 1 species
GGUGUUGAUAGCGAUGAGGAUCCACCUGUACCCAUACUGAACACAGAAGUUAAGCUCACUGGCGCCGACAAUAUUCGGCCAGGGACGGCCUGGGAAGAAU